CCUACGGGUGGCAGCAGUAGGGAAUCUUCCACAAUGGGCGAAAGCCUGAUGGAGCAACGCCGCGUGGGUGAAGAAGGUCUUCGGAUCGUAAAACUCUGUUGUUAGAGAAGAAAGUGCGUGAGAGUAACUGUUCACGUUUCGACGGUAUCUAACCAGAAAGCCACGGCUAACUACGUGCCAGCAGCCGCGGUAAUACGUAGGUGGCAAGCGUUAUCCGGAUUUAUUGGGCGUAAAGGGACCGCAGGCGGUCCUUUAAGUCUGAUGUGAAAGCCUUCGGCUUAACCGGAGUAGUGCAUUGGAAACUGGGAGACUUGAGUGCAGAAGAGGAGAGUGGAACUCCAUGUGUAGCGGUGAAAUGCGUAGAUAUAUGGAAGAACACCAGUGGCGAAGGCGGCUCUCUGGUCUGUAACUGACGCUGAGGUUCGAAAGCGUGGGUAGCAAACAGGAUUAGAUACCCUUGUAGUC
rnacentral:rRNA from 1 species